rnacentral:lncRNA from 1 species
GCUGCAUCCAACAUGUAAUCAGACGUUCAAGUUAGAAUUUACCUAACUUGAAGACAAAUUUCAUCAAUUUAAAUUUGAAUGCAAUAUUGGAGAAAUAUGAUCAAAUGCCUAAUAAAAUUUGUGAUACUAUGCUAAACCAAGCUUGAGGCCUGGUUUUAAGCAAAAUUUGAAAAAGAUAGAUUUCUGUCGAAGCGUGCUGGCCAAAUACUGAUCCAAUU